CAGAAUAUCAAAUUAAAUUACAAUUUCAGAUAAACAACGAACUAUUUUUAUUAUAAGAAUGUCCCAUUCAAUAAUUGGGACAUACUUAUGCUAAAACAUUACUCAUCGUCUAUUUGAAAUUCUAAUUUAAGUGGGUGCCUUU
rnacentral:miRNA from 1 species